rnacentral:rRNA from 1 species
GAUGAACGCUAGCGGCAGGCUUAACACAUGCAAGUCGAGGGGCAGCAUAAUGGAUAGCAAUAUCUAUGGUGGCGACCGGCGCACGGGUGCGUAACGCGUAUGCAACCUACCUUUAACAGGGGGAUAACACUGAGAAAUUGGUACUAAUACCCCAUAAUAUCAUAGAAGGCAUCUUUUAUGGUUGAAAAUUCCGAUGGUUAGAGAUGGGCAUGCGUUGUAUUAGCUAGUUGGUGGGGCAACGGCUCACCAAGGCGACGAUACAUAGGGGGACUGAGAGGUUAGCCCCCCACACUGGUACUGAGACACGGGCCAGACUCCUACGGGAGGCAGCAGUGAGGAAUAUUGGUCAAUGGACGCAAGUCUGAACCAGCCAUGCCGCGUGCAGGAUGACGGCUCUAUGAGUUGUAAACUGCUUUUGUACGAGGGUAAACGCAGAUACGUGUAUCUGUCUGAAAGUAUCGGACGAAUAAGGAUCGGCUAACUCCGUG